rnacentral:lncRNA from 1 species
UUUUUUUUUUUCAGUUUCCAAAUCGGCAUGACCUAAAAGGGAAAGAGUUCUGUAAACAAGGGGGACACUUUGUUGUCCAUCAAUGGAGAUGUGUCCUAUUUCCUCUUUGGCUUACCUUGCCAAAUCUGGUAUAUCAGACACCCAGUGACGAUUCAGGAUGUAUCAGAUCAAAGCACAUGAUGAAGGAACAUGGAGCAUAUCUGCAGUAUCUUGUGCUUUGGAGAUGAGGGAAUUGAGAGGUUAACGAGCUUAUCCAAGAUCACAUAGCUGGAAAGUGGCUGAGAUAAGGGAUUUGAAUCCAGACCAAUUUAACUCAAAAGUCUGUGCUCUGUGCUCUUUCAUCACAUCACUCCAACCCAAAGAAGGAGCUGGUUUGGGAGCUGCAACCAGGAAGGAUAGGAAAAAGGAAAUUGCCAAGAUGGUGGAGUAGGAAGACUGAGCUCACCUCCCACGGGCACACCAAAAUUACAACUAUUUAUAGAGCAACUGUGGAUGAGAACAAUCUGAAGACUAACAGAAAAGAUCUACAACUAAAGAUAUAAAGGAGGAUCCACAAUAAGGCUGGGAGCAGCAAAGGCAUGGUGCUGUCAAGACCCACACCUCCAGGUAGGCAACCCACAAACAGGAAGAUAAUCACUUU